rnacentral:rRNA from 1 species
CCUACGGGAGGCAGCAGUGGGGAAUAUUGGACAAUGGGCGAAAGCCUGAUCCAGCAAUACCGCGUGUGUGAAGAAGGCCUUCGGGUUGUAAAGCACUUUAAGCAGGGAAGAAAAAAUUCAAGCUAACAUCUUGAGUCUUGACGGUACCUGAAGAAUAAGCACCGGCUAACUCUGUGCCAGCAGCCGCGGUAAUACAGAGGGUGCAAGCGUUAAUCGGAUUUACUGGGCGUAAAGCGUGUGUAGGUGGUUGGGAAAGUCAAUUGUGAAAGCCCCGGGCUCAACUCGGGAACUGCUUUUGAUACUGUCUGACUAGAAUUCGGUAGAGGGAGGCGGAACUCCAGGUGUAGCGGUGAAAUGCGUAGAUAUCUGGAAGAACACCAAUGGCGAAGGCAACCUCCUGGGCCUGAAUUGACACUGAGACACGAAAGCGUGGGGAUCAAACAGGAUUAGAUACCCUGGUAGUCCACGCCGUAAACGAUGACAACUUGACGUCGGUUUGCUCUGCGAAUCGGUGUCGUAGCUAACGCGAUAAGUUGUCCGCCUGGGGAGUACGGCCGCAAGGUUGAAACUCAAAUGAAUUGACGG